UUGGGAGUGCGCUCAAAGGAUACAAACAAGGAUUCGCAAAUAAAAAGGGGAAUUCGUAGUCACUUUUCCAUGUCACAUAAAAAAAGUUAUUUACGCAAGAGCAAUAGAGGUUGGGAUACAUCUGUCUCUUUUGAGAAACCUCUUUUUGAUUCUUAA
rnacentral:rRNA from 1 species